rnacentral:ncRNA from 1 species
CUGCCACAACGGCUUCCUGGCGUGGCGGAAUUCACAUAAUGGAGCG